rnacentral:rRNA from 1 species
UACAGAGACUGCAAGCGUUAUUCGGAUUCACUGGGCGUAAAGGGUGCGCAGGCGGCCGUGUGUGUCAGGUGUGAAAGCCCGGAGCUUAACUCCGGAAUUGCGCCUGAAACUACAUGGCUAGAGCAUUGGAGAGGGUAGCGGAAUUCACGGUGUAGCAGUGAAAUGCGUAGAUAUCGUGAGGAACACCAGAGGCGAAGGCGGCUCUCUGGGACGGUACUGACGCUGAGACGCGAAAGCGUGGGGAGCGAACAGG